GAGGAAGACGAGAAACACAGAAGCAGCAGGGUUUGGGACUCUGGCACCAAGACAGGAAGCGGUGGCAUCCGGUGGUCCCUGCAGAAAUUGGCUCAAAGCCCCUCAUUUAAGAACAUGAGCAGUCUUUGCAUUUUUCCCCGUGCUCAAGUGUUGGAGACUUCUGAAGACUGUGCUCGUGUGAGCCCUGACGUGAGCCUUGGAGGCUGAGACGUCCGAUUAAAGAGGGCUGUCGCAGCCGCUGUGCCGCCAGCCGCGGGCUCGCUUGCCGAAAGCCAGGCCACUGCCACCCCAGCCCCUGCUCCAGGACCCUUUGUUUUAGAAACUGAGGUUGAUUUCAACGACUGACCAUUUGGGCCACUGUUUUUUUCCCUCCAGCACUUUAAAUUCACCAGUGAAAUGACCCAACAUACCCUAGGCCCUGAUCUGGACCCUAAUAAAAACAGAGCCCCUCUCUCUUUCUCUCUGUAUGACCUCACCAUGUGCCCCCAGGUCUGCCAUGUAA